rnacentral:rRNA from 1 species
GACGAACGCUGGCGGCGUGCUUAACACAUGCAAGUCGAACGGAAAGGCCCUGCUUGCCGGGUACUCGAGUGGCGAACGGGUGAGUAACACGUGGGUGAUCUGCCCUGCACUUCGGGAUAAGCUUGGGAAACUGGGUCUAAUACCGGAUAGGAGCCAUCUUUAGUGUGGUGGUUGGAAAGUUUUUUCGGUGUAGGAUGAGCUCGCGGCCUAUCAGCUUGUUGGUGGGGUAAUGGCCUACCAAGGCGGCGACGGGUAGCCGGCCUGAGAGGGUGUACGGCCACAUUGGGACUGAGAUACGGCCCAGACUCCUACGGGAGGCAGCAGUGGGGAAUAUUGCACAAUGGGCGCAAGCCUGAUGCAGCGACGCCGCGUGGGGGAUGAAGGCCUUCGGGUUGCAAACUCCUUUCGCUAGGGACGAAGCGUUGUUGUGACGGUACCUAGAGAAGAAGCACCGGCUAACUACGUG